CAAAAAACAAAAAAACAAAAAAAAGGAGCCGUUUGUUUUUUCAUGGAGGAACAAAAGAAGAGAGAUGCGGGGCGAGCAGACGCCUCUUUUCUUUUCUUUUCUUUUCUUUCCUUUCCUCGCAGGCUACCUUACAUUAAACCCGCUGCUUUUUCUUUUUUUUCUUUCUCGUGGAUUUAGCCUAAACUGUCACAUCGUCUCGCUAAUUAAGUUAAUCUUAUUGGCUGACUUGAUGUAGCAUGUAGCCUUUAGCCGCGCUAAGUUAGUUAGGUUGAGCUGUGUGGACGGUGUUUUUGAAAAUCUUGUUGUUUUUUUAAAUAUGUGGGGUGAAAUAGUCAAAGCUGCCUAAUGUUAGCACUAGAAAAUAACUUUUUUUUGUAGUUUUUAGUUGUAGAUAGCGUUAUACUUAAUAUUUAAUCUGUUAUAUGAGGAUUUGUGGCGUUGUUUUAUCGUUUUAAUAGAAGAGUCCAAAAAUAUGUGUGAUUGAUUGCAGGAAGAAUCCCAGACCAGACUUUGCUCCUGCAUAUGUCAUUAGCACUGAUAUGGCUCGUUGUUUUGUCAGAGGCUUGCUGGAAGUUUUUAGCUUGAUGUGUAAAUGUUCGAGCUUUUAUAGUCAUGGUAGAGGAGAAAGAGGAAGGAAGAGGGGGUUAAAAAAAACAACAACAAAAAAACACCUUAAGAGGGCCACUCACCCUCCAAGCACGCAGUCAUCGCUUUCCAGUAAGUGAUGCGUCUCCGUCUGCAUGCAUUCCUGCCCCCUCCCCUCCCUCUCUCUCUUAUGCAGUGAAAACACUGCAAAGACUUUAAAUGAUGUGAUCUAUGAUUAUUUUUUUAGAGCAUAUGAAUCACGUUUUGAGAGGAGGUGCUGACAUUAAAGCGUUUUUGAAGUGCUGAUUUCUGAUGAUGCAGGGGGCUUGUUGGGUGGGGGCUUUGAGCUAUAGCUAAGCCUUUAAAUCUGUCUUUAGCUCUUUUGCUUUUGCUCCUUUUUUAAAGCCCCCCCCCCCCUUUUUCUUUUUUCUUUUCACGAGCUGCCGGUCAUUUCUGCUGCUGGCCAACCCCAGAAAAAGAGAGAGAGAGAGAUCCGUACAGCAGCAACUUGAGCACAAUUGGGCUAAAAAUCUUUUUAGUAGGCCAUCAAAAAAGCCUCCCACCCUGCCUUAUCCAGACAUCUUUUGGCUUCAGAGCUCAGCUAUAUAUAUGAUUAUAUAUAUAUAUAUCUGCCAUAGCCCCACCUGCCCAUAAGCUCCUAAACCUUAAUGCCAUUUCAUUGAUAUUAUUUUGCGGCUUUCAUUCUAGGGUGGGGUCUGCUGCCAGGCAGCUAAAAAGCUUCCCCCCCCCCCCCUCUCUCAUCGCAAUCCAUGUGGAAAGCAUGAGCUCAUCCCCUCUGGCCGGGAGGUGAAGUCUGGUUUAGGCAUCACUGUCACAGCCAAGUGUGACGGACACUAGUACUUAUACAAGAAUUGAUUGAGGAAAUUUUACGCCGAUGCAGUCAACGCUGCUGUUGCUGCUGUGGAUCUCCCCCUCCCCUCUCUCUCUCUCUCUCUCUCUCUCUUCUAGUUGCCUUCUUUGUAGUUCUGCUUCGAUGGCCGAGUUGUUUUUUGGACUCCCAUCUGCCCGCCUGGCCCUCGGACAGCUGCUCAGUGUGUCAGCUGGUGGCUUCAGGGACUCUGAAGGAGGAGAAGAAGAGAGUUUGCUGGAAAAAAAAAGAGGGAGGGGUCCAACAGGGGCUCUGCACAGACAUCAGUUUUUGUCGCCCGACCGCGACUGUCCUUCAGCACAGCAAGGAGAGGAGGAAAAAAAGGGCUUCCCUGCUCAUUAUCCUGUUCCUUUUUGUUCAGCUCGUGGUGGGAGGAAUGUCGGCGUGAAGUGGGCUUUGUUUAUCGCGCACUGCGCUGCUCUAGAACAGUCUGUUUAUUAGGAAUCUGUGCUGAGGAGAGGCAGCAGCUAGCCAGCUAACUCUGUGAUUAUAUGCGACUGGAGUCAGCUGCCGGGCAGAGAUUGUGACUGUCUGUCUGAAGGGCUGACAGCCGGGGCUUAGAGAGCAGAGACCUUGCUGCUAGGCUGUGUGUUUAUAUGUGUGUGUGUGUGGUAUGUAUAUGAAAGGGUUAGGGUGGAGUAGGGGUAAGGCUGUAAGUAGCUCGAGGCAUCCUCAUGUUAUAUUUGACUAUUGAUUUUUUUUUUUUUUUUUUUUUCUGUUUUAUGUGCUGCACAGCUGAUCAGUGGCAUGUGACAUGAAGCCCAUGUGUUUCAGCUCGGGCCUAAAGAGAGGGCGUAGCACA